rnacentral:rRNA from 1 species
UACGUAGGGUGCAAGCGUUAAUCGGAAUUACUGGGCGUAAAGCGUGCGCAGGCGGUCAUGCAAGACAGAUGUGAAAUCCCCGGGCUUAACCUGGGAACUGCGUUUGAAACUGGAAGGCUUGAGUGUGGCAGAGGGGGGUGGAAUUCCACGUGUAGCAGUGAAAUGCGUAGAGAUGUGGAGGAACACCGAUGGCGAAGGCAGCCCCCUGGGCUAACACUGACGCUCAUGCACGAAAGCGUGGGGAGCAAACAGG